rnacentral:lncRNA from 1 species
AAAUUACAUCAUGUCUCAGGAAGUCUCCUCUCUCCAACAGAACCAGCGGAUAUUCUCAGCCAAGGCUUUGCAAGAUGCUCUUGAUUGAUGCUAAUCCAUGAGCUGUGGACUGACUAGAGCUGAGAAGAUGGUCUCCAUUCUGGAUGUCAUAAGGAACAGAAAUGGCAAGCAAUUCACCAAUCUGUGUGCUCCUACUUCCUUACUAUAGAUUUGUCCAUAGAAGGCAGGAACUGUAUUUCCUCAUCUCUCUUGCUAAUGAAAUGUGAGGAGAAAUGACGUGUAUCCUCUCUACUCUUUCUUUCCUCACCUUUAAGCUAAAUGCAAAUGACAAUGAGGCCAAUGCUUAGAGGACUGCUGAGCCAUGAGAUGGAAGGAACUCAGGACAUGGAAGAAAACAACAUAUGAGACAAGAUAUAUCUAUCUGAGUCUGACAGUUAAAUGAAAAAGAAUUAAAUUUCAAUUAUGUUAUGCCACUGAGACUUAGAGGUCUACUUUUUUGCAGUAGCUAUUACUCUAACCUAAUACCAUACCCCUAAUAAAACAAUGUAAGAAAACAUUAAUUUUGAGAGGAG